rnacentral:rRNA from 1 species
GACCUCAAAUCAGGUAAGGACACCCGCUGAACUUAAGCAUAUCAAUAAGCGGAGGAAAAGAAAAUAACAAUGAUUCCCCUAGUAACUGCGAGUGAAGAGGGACAAGCUCAAAUUUUAAAUCCAUCGGGUUUUACCUGAUCGAGUUGUAAUUUGAAGAAGCGUUUUCUGCGUAUUUGAUCAGCCUAAGUCCUAUUGAAUGAGGCAUCACGGAGGGUGAUAAUCCCGUCCGGUUGAUCAUUUGCGUUUUACGAUACGCUUUCUAAGAGUCAAGUUGUUUGGGAUUGCAGCUUAAAAUGGGAGGUAAAUUUCUCCUAAGGCUAAAUAACGGCGAGAGACCGAUAGCGAACAAGUACCGUGAGGGAAAGAUGAAAAGAACUUUGAAAAGAGAGUUAAACAGUACGUGAAAUUGUUGAAAGGGAAACGAUUGAAGCCAGUCGUACCUUCGGGUAAUCAGCCUUUCGGGUGCGAUUCUGUGGAGUUUGAGGAGCUUUAACACCUUCAUGCUUUGCAUAUUCGUGCUCUUGGGUGUACUUGCCCGUGUGGUUGGUUAACAUCAAUUUCGGGCACCAUAAAAUGGCUGGAGGAAUGUAGCUUCGAUCUUGUAUUGAAGUGUUAUAGCCUUCGGUAGAUGUGGUGAUCGAGAUUGAGGAUUGCAACGGAUACCUUUCGGGGCUACCUGUCUGAUCUCUGAUCGUUGCUUUGGUGCUGAAAGCGUGCUUAUAGUUAUCAAAGUCGAUGGUUAAUAGGUUAGAAUGGGUUAAAUUCGUUAAGGAUGUUGACGUAAUGGCUUUAAACGACCCGUCUUGAAACACGGACCA